rnacentral:rRNA from 1 species
CCUACGGGACGCAGCAGUGGGGAAUAUUGCGCAAUGGACGAAAGUCUGACGCAGCGACGCCGCGUGAGGGGUGAAGGUUUUCGGAUCGUAAACCUCUGUCAGGAGGGAAGAAAGCGCAUGGCGCCAAUCAGCCAUGCGUUGACGGUACCUGCAAAGGAAGCACCGGCUAACUCCGUGCCAGCAGCCGCGGUAAUACGGAGGGUGCGAGCGUUAAUCGGAAUUACUGGGCGUAAAGCGCUCGUAGGCGGUAUGUCAAGUCAAGGGUGAAAUCCCCGCGCUCAACGUGGGAACUGCCUUUGAAUCUG